rnacentral:rRNA from 1 species
ACGCUAGCGGCAGGCUUAAUACAUGCAAGUCGUGGGGCAGCACAGUGUAGCAAUACAUGGGUGGCGACCGGCAAACGGGUGCGGAACACGUACGCAACCUCCCUUCAAGUGGGGAAUAGCCCAGGGAAACUUGGAUUAAUACCCCGUAAUAUUUCGAGGUGGCAUCACCUUGAUCUUAUAGCUACGGCGCUUGAAGAUGGGCGUGCGACUGAUUAGGUAGUUGGCGGGGUAACGGCCCACCAAGCCUGCGAUCAGUAACUGGUGUGAGAGCACGACCAGUCACACGGGCACUGAGACACGGGCCCGACUCCUACGGGAGGCAGCAGUAAGGAAUAUUGGUCAAUGGACGCAAGUCUGAACCAGCCAUGCCGCGUGGAGGAUGAAGGUCCUCUGGAUUGUAAACUUCUUUUAUUUGGGAAGAAACCCACGGUUUCUACUGUGGUUGACGGUACCAGAUGAAUAAGCACCGGCUAACUCCGUGCCAGCAGCCGCGGUAAUACGGAGGGUGCAAGCGUUAUCCGGAUUCACUGGGUUUAAAGGGUGCGUAGGCGGGCAGGUAAGUCAGUGGUGAAAUCCCCGAGCUUAACUUGGGAACUGCCGUUGAUACUAUCUGUCUUGAAUGUUGUGGAGGUAAGCGGAAUAUGUCAUGUAGCGGUGAAAUGCUUAGAUAUGACAUAGAACACCUAUUGCGAAGGCAGCUUGCUACACAACCAUUGACGCUGAGGCACGAAAGCGUGGGGAU